rnacentral:misc_RNA from 1 species
GAUGAUGAAGACCAAGUAGAUAGUGAUGCCAAUUUGUUUGAUACAAGUUUGGAUGGUUCAGAUACCAUGGGAUUUGGUCCCCUUAUUCCAACAGAAAGUGAGAGGUCUUUAAUGGAGAGGGUCAGGCAUGAACUGAAGCAUGAUUUAAAGCAGGGUUACAAAGAGAAAAUUGCUGACAUCAGAGAGGAAAUUUUGCGCAAGAGACGAGCCGGAAAGCUACCUGGGGACACAACCUCUGUCUUGAAAUCUUGGUGGCAAUCACACUCCAAGUGGCCAUAUCCUACAGAGGAAGAUAAGGCAAGAUUGGUACAGGAAACAGGGUUGCAAUUAAAGCAGAUAAACAAUUGGUUCAUCAACCAGAGGAAGAGGAACUGGCACAGUAAUCCUUCAACUUCAACAGUCUUGAAAAGCAAACG